rnacentral:lncRNA from 1 species
UUUUUUUGUGUAUUUCGGAAUAUCUAACUUUGAUUUUUUGUUUAAAAAAGUAAAUUAAUCAAGUAGGAUUUACGGAAGGAGAACCUUGAAUUCUUUGAGGCGUAUACUUGACAGCCGUCAUAUCAACUUCACUCGCCGGCAACAACACUCUCUUCUUCCCCAUUCUAACAAAAGGCAAUUUAUUCAAAACUAUUAAAAUCACUAAACAAUCACUUAAUUUAAACUUUUAGAUUGCAUAAAUUGAACGAAUACGCAACCUAAGAAUCUUUCAAAAUUCUGCUAUGCAACUCAAAAAUUAACUUAGCGGAAAAUGAAGAUUUUCGCGAAGCGGUGAAGCUUUAACAGACUAACAUUGAAUAAGCAAUUUAUUUGAAAGGCCUUUUAUACAGCGGUUGAAGGCUAUCAUGCGGCAGCAAUGACAAUUAAACUAAGCUUCUUUUUUUUUUUCUUUUCUGAAGCUGGUUUGUUGGGGAAAGUGGCG